rnacentral:lncRNA from 1 species
AGUUAGUAAAGGAAUUUAUUGAUAACUUACAGUCGGCAGCCCAAUUCCUUACAAUUGUUCAGUCGCAGCUGUGAAUGGAAAUCCAAGGAUCUAGCAGUUACUCAGUCUCACACGGCAAGCAGGCGAAGGAGCAAGAGCAAGAGCUAGACUCCCUUCUUCCAAUGUCCUUAUAUUGUCUCCAGCAAAAGGUGUAGCCCAGAUUAAAGGUGUGUUCCUUAACUCGGAGAUUCAAUCUUCUGGAAUCCAUAGCCACUAUGGCUCAAGAUCUUCAAACCAAGAUCCAGAUAAGGAUCUCCAAGCCUCCAGAUAAGGGUCACUGGUGAGCCUUCCAAUUCCGGAUUGUAGUUCAUUCCAAAUAUUGUCAAGUUGACAACCAGGAAUAGCCACUACAAUCCACCCCUUGUCAACUUGACACAAAUAAUAUCUCAUGUUCACAUGAAACAAUAACAAGGUUGUAAAUACGCCUAACAUGAUAUAACUAUCCCUCGUACAAUCGCAAACGCAUUAGUAAAUUUACAAUGGGCAUUCAUAUUACUUUAUAAUCCUCGUUUCUGCAACUGGUUACGUGGCCUUAAUUGGUAUUUAUAACUACCUUCCUCUACUACCCAUUCUGUAUUUCCUUCACCUUCAGCCAGCACCUCAGCAGGUCUUGGCUCUUUUCCUGGAGGAUUGACCCAUACCUUCAUUCCUGAUGGGUCUGCGUCCUUUGUCAUCCUGCUUGGAUUAGGCUGUUGUAGUUUCCCAUUGACUUUAAUCACAGGACAUGGUAGUACUAAGAGACGCCCUAAGGGAUCUCCUGCACUCCAGACAUAAUCUUGCUUACCACCAUUGUGAAGAGGUAAUCCAAUUUCCCCAUGGUAAUCUGGAUCUAUCACCCCUCCUAACACUGUUAUUCCUUUUUUAGCCUGUUGGUUUAAGGGCAUUAGAAGCCCAAAAUGACCAGGGGGAAGUCUGAGCUUCCAGUUCAAUGAAAUGUUUGUUGUAGCUCCUGGUAGGAGCACUCCCCUCUCUGGAGCCAAAACUUCUAAGCCAGCAGAACCUAGAGUUAUGGGGACAGGAAGCAAAAAUUUUCCUAGAGGGUCACUAGGAGUGAUAGUAAGUGGAACUAUUCCGUUUUCCACCCCUUGAUUCCUGGACCCAUGAAUCCUGGCUAUGGGUGAAACUGUACCAUAUAUCGAGCGCUGAUUCAAAGCAUAUACUGCCUUCUGAAGAACUCUACCCCAGCCUUCCAAGCUGUUACCACCUAAUUGGCGCUGUAACUGCGUCUUCAAAAGGCCAUUCCAUCUUUCUAUCAGACCAGCUGCUUCAGGAUGAUGGGGAAUGUGGUAAGACCAGUGAAUUCCAUGAUCGUGGGCCCACUGUCGUACUUCUCUGGCUGUGAAAUGAGUUCCUUGGUCAGAAGCAAUACUGUGUGGAACACCAUGACGAUAGAUAAGGCAUUCUGUCAGUCCGUGAAUGGUGGUUUUAGCAGAAGCAUUACGUGCAGGAAAGGCAAAUCCAUAACCAGAAUAAGUAUCUACUCCAGUAAGAACAAAACGCUGUCCUUUCCAUGAAGGAAGUGGUCCAAUGUAGUCAACCUGCCACCAGGUUGCUGGCUGGUCACCUCGAGGAAUGGUGCCAUAUCUGGGGCUCAGUGUUGGUUUCUGCUGUUGGCAGAUCUGGCAAUCAGCAGCAGCAGUAGCCAGGUCAGCUUUGGUGAGUGGAAGCCCGUGUUGCUGAGCCCAAGCAUAACCUCCAUCUCGACCACCAUGACCACUUUGUUCAUGUGCCCAUUGAGCAAUGACAGGGAUGGCUGGGGAGAGAGGCUGACUGUCCACAGAACGGGUCAUCUUAUCCACUUGAUUAUUGAACUCCUCCUCGG